GGAUGUGAGGAUGAUCUAGCUGCAGCAUCUGCCAUCCCAUUGAUUGAGCUCUAGGGUUUACUGGUAAAUCUGGCUGAUUAGACAUGUGUCUCAUCCCUCCCACAAAGUUUCAUGUAGACCCUUCCCAAGGCAUGACACCCCUUCCCAGCCCCAUUCUUUGGUAAAGGGCAUUCAAAUAGUUGUGCUCCUACACUAGAAUCUCCAAACAGUUUUACAGUCUCAUCUAACUUGACUCACAUACAACCUUUGGCAAUAUU
rnacentral:sRNA from 1 species